rnacentral:rRNA from 2 species
AAAUCCGGUUCACUUUAACACUGAGGCGUGACGACGAGGCACUACGGUGCUGAAGCAACAAAUGCCCUGCUUCCAGGAAAAGCCUCUAAGCAUCAGGUAACAUCAAAUCGUACCCCAAACCGACACAGGUGGUCAGGUAGAGAAUACCAAGGCGCUUGAGAGAACUCGGGUGAAGGAACUAGGCAAAAUGGUGCCGUAACUUCGGGAGAAGGCACGCUGACACGUAGGUGAAGUGAUUUACUCAUGGAGCUGAAGUCAGUCGAAGAUACCAGCUGGCUGCAACUGUUUAUUAAAAACACAGCACUGUGCAAACACGAAAGUGGACGUAUACGGUGUGACGCCUGCCCGGUGCCGGAAGGUUAAUUGAUGGGGUCAGCGCAAGCGAAGCUCCUGAU